UACGGGGGGGGGCAAGCGUUGUUCGGAAUUACUGGGCGUAAAGGGUGCGUAGGCGGCUUUCUAAGUUGGAUGUGAAAACUCUGGGCUCAACCCAGAGCCUGCAUCCAAAACUGGAGAGCUUGGGUUCUGGAGGGGAAAGCGGAAUUCCUGGUGUAGCGGUGAAAUGCGUAGAUAUCAGGAGGAACACCGGUGGCGAAGGCGGCUUUCUGGACAGAUACCGACGCUGAGGCACGAAAGCUAGGGGAGCAAACAGG
rnacentral:rRNA from 1 species